CCUACGGGUGGCUGCAGUGGGGAAUAUUGGACAAUGGGCGAAAGCCUGAUCCAGCCAUGCCGCGUGUGUGAAGAAGGCCUUCGGGUUGUAAAGCACUUUCAGUGGGGAAGAAAGCCUUGGGGCUAAUACCCUCGAGGAAGGACAUCACCCACAGAAGAAGCACCGGCUAACUCCGUGCCAGCAGCCGCGGUAAUACGGAGGGUGCGCGGCGUUAAUCGGAAUUACUGGGCGUAAAGCGCGCGUAGGCGGUCUGAUAAGCCGGUUGUGAAAGCCCCGGGCUCAACCUGGGAACGGCAUCCGGAACUGUCAGGCUAGAGUGCAGGAGAGGAAGGUAGAAUUCCCGGUGUAGCGGAGAAAUGCGUAGAGAUCGGGAGGAAUACCAGUGGCGAAGGCGGCCUUCUGGACUGACACUGACGCUGAGGUGCGAAAGCGUGGGUAGCAAACAGGAUUAGAUACCCUGGUAGUC
rnacentral:rRNA from 1 species